GCAGUGGCUCAGUGGUAUAGAGUAUCUGCUUUGCAUGCAAAGGUUUCCAGGUUCAAUUCUUGGCAUCUCCA